GUAUGUGCAGUGGGCACAUAAGGUUCAGGCAGCCCUCAUCUGCUCUUCACAGUAGCCCUCUAUAUGCCGCGAUGCUUGGCCCCUGUGAGACCUGGAGGAGGUGUGGGGAUGGGCCCAUGCCGGCACCUCUGGCCGAGAAGAGCACUGCAAAAGGAAGCUGCUCAGAAGCCCCUGGGUGUUUCAGGAGGAGGAUUCACCCUUUGAUGUAA
rnacentral:lncRNA from 1 species